GUGGGAACGUGGCCCGGGGAGGGCAGAGCCAGGGCUUCCAGAGGCAAUAGAAGGGCGGGCUCCCUGGCACCAGCCUUUGGGUACAGAAACUCGAAAGGUGCCCAGUGCCUCAGGCUCGCCUCGCCCAACUUCCCCCAUGUUUGAGGGUCGCGUUCUGCGUCUGGCUGAACAUGACUGAUCUUUCUGCGGCUAGAUUGCCACUCCUCACCUCAUUCCCAAUGGUCCUGGAACCCGCAGUUAGUUCCUCAGUGACGCCCACCCUCCCUUGUCUCUCUUUUUCUCCUGGUGCAAAUAGCUCCCCUCCUUACUCAGAAAUCGGAGCGGGGAACCCCUACUUGAAAUUCCCUCUUACCCCAACCCCUAACCACGCCAAACGACUGAAACAGCGGCGGCAGAGAAACGCUGACUGGGGACCCCGCCCCCUCCCAUGAAACCCCUGCUGGGCCCCAGGGGCCGGCCGCCCCCGCCCCGCCACUAGGCCCAGACUGGAACUGGGAGCUGGAGGGCAAGUGAGGGGCCUGCAGGGGCCGCCUGGGGAUAGGAGAGCGUCCCAGAUCCGCAUGUUAAGACUUAAAUUUUUAGGUGACCAGCUAGACCUUAAAUUUGGGGAGAGUAGCACGAGUUGGACAAAUACCCAGAGAAGGAAGUGUUUACCCUAAGAGAGGAAUGAAAGCCCCGAGUGGGAGGACUGAAUACCUGGGGCUGGGGACAGCGACUCGGAAUGACGGCCAGGUGCGCGGACUGGCCGGGCCACGUGCGCCGAAGGGUAGAAGCAUAGAAGUUAGAUGCUUGCAGAACCUGGGGGAAUGAGGCCUUCAGGUGUUAAGAAAGGCGAGGCUUUGCCUGGGCGGGGUCCUGCGUGAGUGGGUCUGGGGGCCUGUUUCGGAAUGUGGGGGGCUGAGCUGCAAGCGGAGCGUCAGCAUGCGCCAGGCGCCCACCUCUUCUCCGCUGCUCCCCCCCAUCCUCCGCUGCCUCCGCUUCCCUCGAAAAACCCGCCGCCCAGGAAACCGCUGGGGGCGCUCAGACCGCAGACCCCCCACGCCCCCCGCCCCCCAGCGCUCCCACCGCGACCGCCCAACCCACCUGAAGGGGCCGUGGCCGCCAGGGGUACCCCCCUCCCGCCGACUCCCCCCAACACCUGCGGGUGGCACUAUUUAUAACUCCGCGCCUAUUCCGGGCCUCUGGGUUGGAGCCGGCUGCCGCGCAGCGCUAAUCGCCGCCGGGAUCUCUGCGCCCCCCAAGGCCGGGGGAGGCAAAUUUAGCUUCAGGAAGCUCAGGGGAACAGUUUCCAAAACUCCACGUCCCAGAGAAGGCAAGACAACCCCUCUGCACUCAGCCUCCUUCCGAUCAGCCACCAGGAGGCGCAGGUCCCCGGCUUCUCGAACCCAGCCAGCUAGGAGGUUACGGUCGCUUCUUUGAAGCUGGGGUAGGCGAAGGCCUGAGGGCGAAUGAUGGAAAGGAACUGAGGCCGAAGAAUGGCUGGAGGAACGGGUACGCUCCAAGGCUGGCGAACACUCUAGAGUCUGAGAGUAACUGAGAAAGUUGGGUGGAGGGAAAUAACUCACAUGCAAGACAGAUGUAAAUAUGAUGCAAAUAAGAGCCUAUGCCCAUGCCGGGCGCGGUGGCUCUCGCCUGUAAUCUCAACACUUUGGGAGGCAGAGGCGGGUGGAACACCUGAGGUCAGGAGUUCGAGACCAGCCUAACCAACAUGGUGAAACCCUGUCUCUAGUAAAAAUACAAAAAUUAGCCAGUCGUGGUGGCACACGCCUGUAGUCCCAGCUACUCAGGAGGCUGAAGCAGAAUUGCCUGAACCUGGGAGGCGGAGGUUGCGGUGAGCCGAGAUCGCGCCAUUGCACUCCAGCCUGGGCAACAAGAGCCAAACCCCGUCUUUAAAAAAAAAAAAAAAAAAAAAAGCCUAUGCCCUUGGGGAUGGGUCUGCGCUCUGGCGCUGCCAGUGAAAUGAUUGCCACACACCCCUUUUUGCCGGCCUCUUGGUGUUGGGAAAACGUGGGACAUCCCCACCCACCCACCCCUCCCCGCCGCCAGAUUAUUGCUAUGAUAUCCAGUUUAUUGCCUGCCGCUCCUCAGACCCUUGGGCCGUGACCCCUCUCCUCCAACUGUUCCUUGCAUGCCAACGAGGGUCCUGUAUCCGAUGUAAUCCGCCGGGAAUCCUGGAUAUCAGGCUUCUCCUCUCGCUGUUGUACUUGAGGGUCACAUCCAGCUGGUCCCUCCUGUCUCCAUUCCUACUCCACCCAUUCCCCCACCCCCUGUGACCAUUAGAGGGCACCAGGGCACCGAGGGGUAGGUGAGGUUUUAAUGGCAAAGGCCGCAAUUACUUUUGCACCAACCUAAUAUCUUGGUACCCUGUCUCCUUCACCUCCCUCCCACCUUACUCCACUUGAGUUCCUGAGGGAGUAAUUUGGACACUCAAAACCUGAGUUGCCCUAGUCGGGGAGAGAUACUUGUGGGGGAACAGCCACAGAGUGGGGAGCCAUGGGCCAGGAAAGAUCUCUUGGCUGUGUGGAUUAGGUGAAAGGGCUGCACCUGAAACCUCCAAAUGGGCUGAGAACAGGGAGCUUAGGGCUGAGGUGGGAAGUGGCAUGGAGCGGGUGCAUGGAGGUGGUACCCUCCAUGCUUUUGUUUGCAUGGCCCUGCCUCCAGGCCACUUUGGCCACCAUCUCCAUGCAAACACCAGCUCAGAAGAGGAAGGCAGGCUCAUUAGGAGAAGCCGUGAGUUGGGGAUCUGAAAAUCUGGGUUCGCUAAAUGACUCCUUUACCUCAGUGUGCUGUGUAUGUUCUUGGGCGAAUCAUUUCACCUCUUUGGGCCUAUUUCCUUCAUGUUAACAUGGGAUAAUUGCUGAAGUGGACUUUCGUAAGGCUCAAAGCACUCUGUAUUGUGAAAAGGGCUCUCUGAAUGGUAUCUGAGGUUUCUUUUAUUCUCCUCAUCCCUCUCCUCAGUCUUUACACUGCCAAAGCCCUCUUUCCCACUCUGACAUUCUCCUUGGGCCACUGGCAGUCUCUACCUGUCACUCCCCCUGCUGCUCUCUAUUACCCUUCUCACCACAGGCCACAGCCCUGGAUUCUGCCUUCCUCUACCCACCACUUCCCCAGUGGUUUCUGCCAGACUUCCCCUCCCCUGGCAAAGGCCCUUGGGCUCAGACCUCAGACUCCAGGAUCCACCUCUAGGCACUGCCCCGCUUGGUGGGAGUGAGGCCUAAGAAAGGAAAAGAAGGCGGUAGGCCAGGGCCUGAGUCAGGGAAGGAAAGGCUGGAGCUGGCCAAGUAGGGUGCAGGCUCUGAGGGGGAAGAAGGAGCCCCAGAUUCAUGGGAAGGUAAAUUCUGACUACCCCCAUCACUGGGACCAGGUGAGAGCCU
rnacentral:lncRNA from 1 species